rnacentral:lncRNA from 1 species
CUGGUAUCACUGAACCCCUAAUAGAAGCUUACAAACCACACAGGUGGGCAGUGGCUAGGUUAAUAGAGAAACCAUCAACGGUUUCAAUAGAGAAACCACAUGCUUGUUUUCGACGCGGACUUCAUCGUCGAGACGGUGAACAAGAAGCUGAAGAUCAUAACAAAUGUCGAGAACAAGAACGACAUUAGACUGAGCCCACUGGAUAAAGCCGACAGGGAAGGAAGAGGAGUCAAGAGUGCGAACGGAGUGACCAAAAAGCAUGGUCGGCGUCCCGACGACGACAACGACAUCCAAGGUUUGAGUUCUUAAUUUCAUAUUUUUUCUAUUCUUUUCUUCAUAAUCUAUUUUUGUUUAUACCCUCACAGAUCUGAAUGUUUCAUUUGUAUAACGAUAGAGUUUUUACUUUUUUUCAUUCAUAACUCAUUUUGUAUAUUACAUUUGGAUAACAAAUAGACUAUAGAAUAAAGAUGAAAGAAAUACCUUAAUCCUUCUUCUGUUUGCUUUUGUCUCCUAAUACUCUUCUUAUUUUUCUUGUUCUUAUUUUUAAGUGUUUUUUUAGUAUAUGAUGAUUCUUGGUUGAUUGAUUUGUUCUCAAUUUAUAGAUUAAAGUGGCGAAUCUUUGUGUCCAUAAGACAAAAUCCAGUCUCGGAUUUUAUAUUGUUUUCACAACAAAAACAAGCAACCUUUGCUAAGUAUAGAAACAUGCAACUCAUCUUUUUGAUUGAGUAUAAAAGUAGUGAAGAUAAUGACUUUUUAAGACAAAAGAAGAAAAAGAAAGUAAGCUAAAAAAUAGGAGGGGUUGAGUAGAAUUUUCGUUUUCAAUUUUGGAGAUAUAUGUAACUUAUCUUUUUGAUUGAGUAUGGAAUUAGUGAAAUUAAUAACCAUUUUAAGACAAAUGAAGAAAGCUGAAACAAGGGAAAGGACUAUAAGGCUGUAAACAGUGAAAUUAAUAACCAGAAAACUAACAUAAAGGAAAGGACUAUAAGGCUAUAAAUAGUGAAAUUAAUAACUAUUACGAAGAAAAUUAAAAUAAGGGAAGAGAUAAGAGGCACUAAGAUAUACUUUGUCUUUAUUUUGUUAUGUUUUUGGUAUAUAAAUAUAUUACUUAUUUUUAAUUAUUCUAUUGUUUUUUUUAUUAUUAGGCAGGAGUUCAUUCUUUCAAUUGGUUAAAGCAGAUAAGAAAAUCAUAACAGAAAGAGCACCACCAAAUCUAAUGGUUUGAAAUUCGAAAAAAGAUAUAAUUUUACUCUUUAUAUCUUUCUUAUACUUUUUUAUGUUAAUUUAUUGGAGUUGAAUUCUAGUGAUGGUCUCACUCAUUAGUUUAUUCAUAUAAAUCUUGAAUUUUCAGGAUAAUAUUUGCUUGCUCGUUAAAGUUGAUUAAAAAUAAACAUAUUACUUUAUUAUAUAUAUUUUUUUUUUGAAUUAUUUUUACGGGACAAAAUUGAGGUAUUACAGUUGCCCCUAUUUAAUUAUUUUUAUAUGAAUAUUAUCGUGGUAAAAAAAAUAAUUAAAUAUA